rnacentral:sRNA from 14 species
CUACGUUAUUUUGGUCAAGACACCUACAGAUACUCCUCAAGUCUGUAGCCCUGUC